rnacentral:rRNA from 1 species
CCCUUAGAUGUUCUGGGCCGCACGCGCGCUACACUGACGAUGGCAACGAGUUUUUCCUUCGCCGAAAGGUUUGGGUAAUCUUUUGAAACAUCGUCGUGCUGGGGAUAGAUCAUUGCAAUUUUUGAUCUUGAACGAGGAAUUCCUAGUAAGCGCGAGUCAUCAGCUCGCGUUGAUUACGUCCCUGCCCUUUGUACACACCGCCCGUCGCUACUACCGAUUGAAUGGUUUAGUGAGGACUCCUGAUUGGCGCCGCCGCCCCGGCAACGGAGCAGCGGACUGCCGAAAAGUUGUUCAAACUUGAUCAUUUAGAGGAAGUAAAAGUCGUAACA